rnacentral:lncRNA from 1 species
UGAUUUAAUAGCAGUUUAACUAAAAAAUAAUAAAAUUUAGUGAAUUGAAUAGUAAUUUGGUAUAAAAUAAUACAAUUUAGUAAAAAAAAUACAAUUUAUAGAUAUAAUUUGCCAGUAAUUAUGUAUGAUUAAAGCAUAAGCAAAACCGAUCAAGGUACAGAGGGGGCUUCCUACCCUGCCUCACAUACAAAACAGAACAAUUCAAACUAAACUUAUAUACUAUAUGCUUAUACAUAUUCAUUAAUGUUUCCCGUAAGUUUCCUCCUAUUUCUGAUUUUUUUACUUUAUGUCACUAUUCCUUACACUGCAUGCUUCACUGGUUGUUAGGGGGUCUCCAGUCUUCUUUUGGUGGUCUUUGGAUGAAGGCUUACACUCAUCCUCGCUGUCCUCUGGAUGGGCUCACAGGUUUGCAUGUGCGUACUAAGCGUUGUGUUAUGUAAGCCUACUAAUUAGUCUUACAUUUAAUGAACUUUAGGCCCUAUGCCUCAAGUAGUUCUAAUUUUGUCCAUCUCAAGGCCGUUUUUAUCUUGGGACAUCACUUACCUCUAAACUGCAUCUUGUACCUCAAUUUUAGCAAGUAACAUCUGUAAAGGGGUACAUCUGCCUUGUAAUACAGGUUCUUUUGAUUGCUUCAAAUUAUAAAUUUCCAAAUAGUGACAAUUUAGUUAGCUCGAAUCAAUUCCAGUUCUAACAGAGAUUUGUCCCUGUUUGUGCUGGGAGCCAAGAGGAGACAAAGCCUGUGAGGACGAGUGAACAAAGCCCCCAAGGCAGACAAGGAGGGCUGCAGCGUUUGUCUCCUGUGUCUGUAAAUGUAAGAGAGGCAAGGCAGCAGCUCACUGGAGCUUGUUAAAGGCCCGCAGUUUCUACACGGUGAAAUGCGAUGUCGCUCCCUUCCCGCGGUGGCUGGAAGGGCCCCGCCCGUGUCCGUGUGCGGCUGUGAGCGCAGUGGCCGCUCGGACACAAGCUCUGCUGGGCCUGGCACAGACACGCAGGGCUCAGGGCAGCCCAGGCUCGGCGCUCUGUGCCCAGCAGCGAGGCAGCGGCGCUGCCCAGCCCCGGCUCCCCAGCAGAGCGCAGCGUUGCUCCACAGCGAGCGCGGCCUGCCCGGCCCGGCCGCUGCCAGCGGCUCCUGCGCUGCCCCGGGCGGGCCUGGAGGACGGGGGGCAGCCAAAACACCGCUUGGAGAGGGUUUCGGGGGAGAAGAAACUACCUGGAAUAGAAAGCUUUCCGUCUCUGGAGUGCAGUUUUGAAUCACAUCCUUGAUGAAAGGGGAAGCCAUUGAAGAAGGAGAGGGAUUCUUUCAAGAAUUUGUUUUUGGCUAUUAGAAGAGGUAUUCCUGAUUUUUGGUGUAUUUCCUUCUGUUCCUCAGAUCAUGUCAUUUACUGCUGCUGCCAGUCUGAGUAGAAUUUCCCCUUGUUACACCAGAUUUAGCAUGGCUUAACAGUGUAUAUCACUUUUCCACAUAGGGAGCAGCUGCAGUUUCAGGAAGGAUGUUCAGAUGUAUGUUGUUUGGCUACAUGUUUUGUAAUGUGUUACAUAUUCA